ACAACAAGAAUUAAACUUCAUUGCCUAGCCUACUCUCCAUGUAUGCAUGCCUGAUUUUAAAAAAAAAAUCUAGUUGAAAUUAUGAGUUUCAUUUUCAUUCAAUUCUGUCGUAAACAAAAAAAUUAAAAAAAAAACAAACAAUAAAAAAUUCAGAAAAGUUGGGAACUUACGUUUCAACUUGGUCAUCCUAGUUACGAUCCAUAUUAAAGUAUAUUGAGAUUCACAAGUUGAAACUUUAAUACGUUCGUAUAAAAUAUAUUGAGAUUAUUAAAGUUUUUAGAUGUACAUCCCAGUUACUAUCCAUAUUAUUUCAGAAUUUUGAAUGUCAAAUUCCAUUCGGGUGCACCAAAAUUGAAAGUUUUCGUCACCAGUUUGGUCAGAACUGAUCAAAAUCGAAAUUUCCAAUGCAACUUGCACUUGUUCUCAAUAAUCUAUUGGCUUGGACUUUCAAGCCCAAAGCCCAACACCUAUGUAUGUUGGCCCAACGUAAAUUUAGGAGACGAAGAUGCCCUCCAUUACAAAAGCCCUUCCGGUCAAACACGGUGGAUUCUGGAUACGAAGGUUCAAAUACAAACGGGAUUUCCCUCCUCGCCGAGUCACUCCUCGGACCUCCGGUCCUCAGUCAAUGGCAGUCGCUCUGAGAAGACUUGCAGCGGCAUUCGGCUACUCGCCACAUCCUCAAUGCGUUCAAAGCUUGCUUCCGUUGCGCUUUGGAAAUAGAUAGAGUUCCCUUGUGUCGUCUGUUUCGUCUGAUGAGAGGGCGAUGCUCCGACCGUUCAUCCAGAAUUCCAACAAUGGCAUAACGGAGGUGGGUCUUUCCACAAGUUUGCCUGCAUCGACCCAACAGUUUUCAUAGAGUUUGGUGCUGUUGUUCAUUCAAAAUCCGUAGUUGGCGAGAGCUGUCAUUGGACCUCACUAUUGGGCAAUCAAGAAAGAUUACUUAAUUACCUUAAUCAACUUGGAAUAUACAAAUAAACAAAUAAAUAAAGCGAUGUGAAUCUAUGUAUUUACACCUGAA